AUGAACGCUGGCGGCGCGCCUAACACAUGCAAGUCGAACGGCACCUAUCUUCGGAUAGAAGCGAGUGGCGAACGGCUGAGUAACACGUGGAGAACCUGCCCCCUCCCCCGGGAUAGCCGCCCGAAAGGACGGGUAAUACCGGAUACCCCGGGGUGCCGCAUGGCACCCCGGCUAAAGCCCCGACGGGAGGGGAUGGCUCCGCGGCCCAUCAGGUAGACGGCGGGGUGACGGCCCACCGUGCCGACAACGGGUAGCCGGGUUGAGAGACCGACCGGCCAGAUUGGGACUGAGACACGGCCCAGACUCCUACGGGAGGCAGCAGUGGGGAAUCUUGCGCAAUGGGGGGAACCCUGACGCAGCGACGCCGCGUGCGGGACGGAGGCCUUCGGGUCGUAAACCGCUUUCAGCAGGGAAGAGUCAAGACUGUACCUGCAGAAGAAGCCCCGGCUAACUACGUGCCAGCAGCCGCGGUAAUACGUAGGGGGCGAGCGUUAUCCGGAUUCAUUGGGCGUAAAGCGCGCGUAGGCGGCCCGGCAGGCCGGGGGUCGAAGCGGGGGGCUCAACCCCCCGAAGCCCCCGGAACCUCCGCGGCUUGGGUCCGGUAGGGGAGGGUGGAACACCCGGUGUAGCGGUGGAAUGCGCAGAUAUCGGGUGGAACACCGGUGGCGAAGGCGGCCCUCUGGGCCGAGACCGACGCUGAGGCGCGAAAGCUGGGGGAGCGAACAGGAUUAGAUACCCUGGUAGUCCCAGCCGUAAACGAUGGACGCUAGGUGUGGGGGGACGAUCCCCCCGUGCCGCAGCCAACGCAUUAAGCGUCCCGCCUGGGGAGUACGGCCGCAAGGCUAAAACUCAAAGGAAUUGACGGGGGCCCGCACAAGCAGUGGAGUAUGUGGUUUAAUUCGAAGCAACGCGAAGAACCUUACCAAGUCUUGACAUCCCCCUGACCGGUGAGUAAUGUCACCUUUCCUUCGGGACAGGGGAGACAGGUGGUGCAUGGUUGUCGUCAGCUCGUGUCGUGAGAUGUUGGGUUAAGUCCCGCAACGAGCGCAACCCCCGCCGCGUGUUGCCAUCGGGUGAUGCCGGGAACCCACGCGGGACCGCCGCCGUCAAGGCGGAGGAGGGCGGGGACGACGUCAAGUCAUCAUGCCCCUUAUGCCCUGGGCUGCACACGUGCUACAAUGGCCGGUACAGAGGGAUGCCACCCCGCGAGGGGGAGCGGAUCCCGGAAAGCCGGCCCCAGUUCGGAUUGGGGGCUGCAACCCGCCCCCAUGAAGUCGGAGUUGCUAGUAAUCGCGGAUCAGCAUGCCGCGGUGAAUGCGUUCCCGGGCCUUGUACACACCGCCCGUCACACCACCCGAGUCGUCUGCACCCGAAGUCGCCGGCCCAACCGAGAGGGGGGAGGCGCCGAAGGUGUGGAGGGUGAGGGGGGUG
rnacentral:rRNA from 1 species